rnacentral:rRNA from 1 species
AGCGAACGCUGGCGGCAGGCUUAACACAUGCUAGUCGAGCGGCCGUAGCAAUACGCAGCGGCAGACGGGAGAGUAACACGUGGGAACGUACCCUUCAGUUCGGAACAACCAAGGGAAACUUUGGCUAAUACCGAAUACGUCCGUAAGGAGAAAGAUUAAUCGCUGAAGGAUCGGCCCGCGUCUGAUUAGCUAGUUGGUGAGGUAACGGCUCACCAAGGCGACGAUCAGUAGCUGGUCUGAGAGGAUGAUCAGCCUCACUGGGACUGAGACACGGCCCAGACUCCUACGGGAGGCAGCAGUGGGGAAUAUUGGACAAUGGGCGCAAGCCUGAUCCAGCCAUGCCGCGUGGAUGAUGAAGGCCUUAGGGUUGUAAAGUCCUUUUAACGGGGAAGAUAAUGACGGUACCCGUAGAAUAAGCCCCGGCUAACUUCGUGCCAGCCGCCGCAGUAA